rnacentral:rRNA from 1 species
GAUGAACGCUAGCGGCAGGCUUAACACAUGCAAGUCGAGGGGUAGAAGGAGCUUGCUCCUUUGAGACCGGCGCACGGGUGCGUAACGCGUAUGCAAUCUGCCUUACACUAAGGGAUAGCCCAGAGAAAUUUGGAUUAAUACCUUAUAGUAUAUAGGAGGGACCUCCCUUUUAUAUUAAAGAUUUAUCGGUGUAAGAUGAG